AGGUGCUGCAUGGCUGUCGUCAGCUCGUGUCGUGAGAUGUUCGGUUAAGUCCGCUAACGAGCGCAACCCUCGUCGUGUGUUACAAGUGUCACACGAGACCGCCGGUUUUAAGCCGGAGAAAGGUGAGGAUGAAGUCAAGUCAGCAUGGCCUUUAUAUCCUGGGCUACACACACGCUACAAUGGCUAGUACAAUUGGUCGCGAAACCGCGAGGUGGAGCCAAUCCUAAAAGCCAGCCUCAGUUCAGAUUGUAGGCUGCAACUCGCCUGCAUGAAGAUGGAGUUGCUAGUAAACGCAGGUCAGCAUUACUGCGUUGAAUACGUUCCCGGGGAUU
rnacentral:rRNA from 1 species